rnacentral:rRNA from 1 species
ACUCAAAUGAAUUGACGGGGGCCCGCACAAGCGGUGGAUUAUGUGGUUUAAUUCGAAGCAACGCGAAAAACCUUACCUGGGCUUGAACUCCUUCAGACUUACCAGAAACGGUUUGGUGCUCGCAAGAGAAUGAAGAGAGAGGUGCUGCAUGGCUGUCGUCAGCUCGUGUUGUGAAAUGUUGGGUUAAGUCUCGCAACGAGCGCAACCCCUAUGAUUAGUUGCCAGCAUUAAGUUGGGCACUCUAAUCAGACUGCCUGGGUUAACCAGGAGGAAGGUGGGGAUGACGUCAAGUCCUCAUGGCCCUUAUGUCCAGGGCUACACACGUAAUACAAUGGCGCAUACAAAGGGAUGCGAACCCGCGAGGGGGAGCCAAUCUCAAAAAGUGCGUCUCAGUCCGGAUUGAAGUCUGCAACUCGACUUCAUGAAGUUGGAAUCGCUAGUAAUCGCGGAUCAGCACGCCGCGGUGAAUACGUUCCCGGGCCUUGCACACACCGCCCGU